CGCGUAGGCGGUUUGAUAAGUCAGAUGUGAAAGCCCACGGCUUAACCGUGGAAGUGCAUUUGAUACUGUCAGACUUGAGUACCAGAGGGGAAAGUGGAAUUCCCGGUGUAGAGGUGAAAUUCGUAGAUAUCGGGAGGAAUACCGGUGGCGAAGGCGACUUUCUGGCUGGAUACUGACGCUGAGGCGCGAAAGCGUGGGGAGCAAACA
rnacentral:rRNA from 1 species